AUUGAAUUAUUUAAUUUUUUCUUUUGCACAUUUUUUCUUGUAUUAAGAUUGCUCUUUCCCAGAGCCAUGAGUUCCUGGUAUUAGGAAACCCAGCUGCCAGCAUUGUCUGGGACUAGAGACUGAGGGGGAGGUCACCAUGCGAGAAAGGCCCCUCCCUCCCUCCAACCCCUUGCCCAGACCUCUUUAGUUUGGGAGAUCCCCUUCACUCUCCUGGGGCACGUGCACCAGUGGGAGUCAGCGAGGAGGAGCACAGGCCUUCAGACAGGGCUUCCCAUGUGUCGCUACUGAUCCCAUGUUUCCUACCCACCUUCCAGUGGUGCGACCUGACUUCAUUUGUUUACUUGAAAAUUCCCCUCAGAGUUGAAAUGAACCUCUGAGGUAGCUGUAUUUUCUCCUAAGCACGCAACAGAGGGCUGUGGUCCUUGCUUUCUCCUGAGGAGAAAGUCCUUGCUCGGGUGACCCAUAAGUUGCAGAGGAGGUUGGAGUGAGUGUCAUGUACUGGGAUAGCCAGGGGAUCCUUGCCUUUGGCCUUUCCUCUUCCUCUUCCGUAGGUGGAUCAUGUAUAUUUGACUUCCAAAGGAGAGAAUGUCAAAAGUUCUGUAUUUUUUUAUAUUCUAUAUAUUAGGUAGGUCAAUCUUAAUUGGUCUCAAGAGGAAGAACUGUCCCUGUAAUUUCUGUAAGUAGGAUACCGUGAGGAAGACCAAAAAGAGAUGUGGAAGUUCUUUGGCUCAGGAAGCCUGACCUUGAUCCAUCUCUCUGCUUGGGUUCCGGGCUACCACCUGGACAAACCCUUAGCUCUGGAGCCUUCAUAUCACAGGUCAGCCUAGUCUGAUUGUCCCAAUACCUGAAGGGAGCAAGGGCUCCAGGGCCUGGUGAAGUCUACCACUCUAGUCCUUAGUGCUGAGCAUCCUGCUUGCAUCAGGAAACCCAGACAGCAGUCUGCUGCCUCGGAUUUGGUCUCAAAUGCCCUUGUCCACAUAAGUUAUCACAGGUGGCUUUCUCUCUUUCUACAGAAAUACAGCAGCUUCAGGACUUUUUUGAGAGUGACUGAUACCUUCCUGGAUUGGGAUCCCUGUACAUGGUUUGGAUAUUGCCCUUCCUGUGACACUUUCAAUCCCAAUGCCUUGCCUUUUCCCUUUGAGUAGAGCUACUGCAGUGCCUCACUGGCUUGCCUGUAUGCGUCAGUGGAUUACAUAGUAAUGAAGUGAAGCCCAGCUGAUGGGGUGAGUGGAGGAAUUUGUUGCCUAAGUGUAGGCCAGUGGUGGGGCUGAAGGCACACUCUGUCUGCCCUGUCGCUGCUUCCCCACAGAGAUCAGUUAGAGAUGCCCUGGUCCAAGCUGUAUUUUCCCUUCCCCAGAAACAAUGCCAUUCUUGCUCCCAUUCCUGCAUAUCCCACCUCUGGCUCAGGUGAAAUCCGUGCCACUCUGCUUACAGAUAAAAAGUUCAGGUCCUUUUGCCCAUUGGUUUUGAAUCUGCCCUCUUUUUCAAGUAUUGAGAUCCAACUCCAGAGGCAUUUUCUGAGAAAAAUGGUUCGGACUAGUGGUUAUCACUGAAAAGUGAUAGCAGAGCCGUACCACCUAAGUGAGUCAGAUGCUACUCUUCAGUUUGGGCAUGAUAAUUACCAAGCCCCACUCUCCCUGGUAGGCAAGGGGCAGGACCCUUUUCACUUGGCCUGCUGACUCCAUUACUCCUACAGUUCAAAAGAAAGUCACCCCCCCACCCCUUGAUCUUGUCCAACAGCCAGAGCAUUUGAGUAAGAACUACUUUUGUAUCUCUAGCAAUAGUUAAGUCCCUGACAUUGGGGCCAAAUUCUUACUGUGAGACAUACACAUCCUGCCUUCCCCAGCUGUUCCUACUUUUGCUUCCGAUCUGGGACAUGUACUAAAUAGAAGACUCUUCUGAUUAUCAGUUACUGCUUGAAGGCUGCUUUCUCCAAGGACUCCAAAGGCUGAAGUGUCUCCCAGGGCACAACCCGAGGAUAAAUUUCUUAUCAGAUAAACAUGGCCUCUGGGAGCAUUCCUGUUAGUGUCUUCUUCAGACUGUUUUCCCAUUAUAUUCCUCUGACCCGCCUUUCAGUUAACAGGUGAAGUUCUUCCAGCCCCCUGAGAUGGUAACAUCAUCUUUUGUGUCCCCUUCUCCUUUGUUCAUCUAGGGAAGCAAAAUAUUGUUUCUUUUUAGCCCAGGCUUGACAGUCACUCUUCAUGGACAGCCCCCAUCUGGACUGCAGACCCUGGCCCAGGUGAAGGCAGAGUUUUCUGACAGAUUUCUGAAUGGAUGUUACAGGGAUGGAGGGGCCCCCCAGUCUGCUAUAGGGAAUAGCCAGAGAAGACGUAUAUUUGAAAGGUUAAUGUUUUGGCACACGGUUAUUUGCAUUUUAAAAUCUCUGGUGGGUUGGUGAUGUUUAGGUGUGAAUUAAGGGGACAAGGAACCGUUUUCUUAGCUAAAGUGUUCAAGUACUGUUUUGAACAGCUAUUUGUUUUUGCCAGCCCUUCUGGACAUCCCACACCCACCCAUCUUCGCUGGUCUUAGAAGACUGAGCUAUCCCAUGACUGGCUGGCCUUGGUAUUGGCUGCAACCUUGUUAGAACCACACAGGUUCCAUCCUCACCUGGCCAGCCUGUUUACUUUAGGCAGUGGGUACAAAGGACCCUUCCAAGGAACAGAUGUAGAAGACUUCAGCUUUCAGGGACCCUUUAUGUUCCCCUUUACCUAGAACCCCUAGAUCUACUCCCAUUCUCUUUUCCCUUGGAAGACUUUCCAACAGCCCUAUUUUUUAGAGCUGAACUACACAGAUUAUAGCUGCUACUAUGCUUAGUCAGGGAAGAGCAAAAGAAGGCUCUCGGGCACUGACUUUCCAUUUCCCUCAAGCCAGACCAGUUUAAUCUGAAAACUCUAGCAGAAUGAACUGGACUUCCAUUUUCUCAAGUCUGCCUGCCUUCCCCCUACACACUAUAAUAGAGUUACCUGUUUCUAGCAAAAUAGAAGGGAAGGAGAUGAAUGCCUAUCAAUACUUCCUCCUCCCAACGCCCCCUUCUUUGAGGGCCUCUCAGAUCAUUUGUUCAGGCCAUGUCUCUCCUCCCCGAGACUCACUUAGUUUGGUGUCCAUCAUCUUGAAUAUUCUUCAGUAGAUGCAUCUCUGGGGCUCAUGUUCUGGAUUUUCAGUUGAAGUGAGAGAGCCAGAUUCUACAGGUCUCUGCAGGGAUCCAUGUGGUAGGCAAUAGCUGUUCUUUGGCCAAGGCCUUCAUAAAGGAUCCAGUCAUCCCAUUGACUAUUCCCUAGCCCCACCCCCAGAUGAAGACCAUGGUAAGGGAAGAAUUUUGAGGUCAGUACAAACCAAAUAAGUCUGUAAAUUAAAGCUGUUAGUUUUCCUCUGAGAGGGCAUUUUGCAUCAGGCCUGGGCUAUGUUCAGAAUCAAACCUGGCUGUGAGUUAGAAGAAGCACCAUUAAAUUUUGGACCUAGAACACCCCAGGAAAAAGGUUUGUGUAGUGUGUUGUAAAGGCCUUGAGUGUGUUUGGGCCCACAUUACUACUUCUGGGCCAGCCUGACUGCUGCUGUGCACAUUAGCACAUCCCUGAACCCCUCUGCUAAACUCAAGCCCUGCAUCCCUACCUAGGUCAGAUGUUCAGCCUCUGGGUUUGGGAAGAGAAAACUGCCAUGGUGAGAAUCCUCAAGCCCUGGAGUUGGGUAUUGGCUCUUUCAGCCAGUUUUUGUGGGAAUUGCCACAAAAUUGGUUGGACCACUAAAGAAGCAAAUAAGGCGUGAGGUCCCAAUUACCCAAGACAGAGCAGAUGUCCCUCAAAAAACAUCUUGGGUUCCCAGCUACAGACCCUCGGAAGGUGAAUCAAACCUGUUUCCUCACUGGUUUUUCUCUCUAAAUUUAUUUUGCUUUUAAGAACUAUAAACUAGCUAUUGUUUUCCAUAUUCUCAGGGCCCCUGGGUAGACAAAGCUUGAUGAUUUCAGAGCAGAUAUAGGCCAAGAAACCAUGGCAUUGAGUGUGCUGAGUCCAGACAAAUGAUAUUUAUAUACACAUCCAAAUUUGAAGAGAAAAUGUAUUUCUUUAGGUUUCAAACACUGUAAUAGAUAUAAAGCAAAAAUAAAAACCUGUUGCAGAGUUCUAAAUAGUGUUCUUUGGAGUGAUCCUAGACUGGAUUUCUUGGAAGUCAAUGAAGUGAAGAUGUUUAAAUUUGUGGCCUAACAAGUGGAAUUAAGAAUUGUUAACAGCCUGCUUCUGCUACAAAGCAUUUUUGAAUCAGCUUUAUUGAAAUAUAACUGACAUACAGUAAAUGGCACAUAUUUAAAAUGAAC
ensembl:lncRNA